rnacentral:rRNA from 1 species
UACAGAGGGUGCGAGCGUUGUCCGGAAUCACUGGGCGUAAAGGGCGCGUAGGUGGCGCGACAAGUCAGUGGUGAAAGUUCGACGCUCAACGUCGAAUCGGCCACUGAUACUGUUGGGCUUGAGCACUGUAGAGGCUAAUGGAAUUUCCGGGUGUAGCGGUGGAAUGCGUAGAGAUCCGGAAGAACACCGGUGGCGAAGGCGGGU